UACAGAGAGUGCAAGCGUUAAUCGGAAUCACUGGGCGUAAAGCGCACGUAGGUGGACUUCUAAGUCGGAUGUGAAAGCCCCGGGCUUAACCUGGGAAUUGCAUUCGAUACUGAAAGUCUAGAGUAUGGUAGAGGGAAGUGGAAUUUCCGGUGUAGCGGUGAAAUGCGUAGAUAUCGUAAGGAAGACCAGUGGCGAAGGCGGGUCUCUGGACAAUUGCUGACGCUCAGGCACGAAAGCGUGGGGAGCAAAAGGG
rnacentral:rRNA from 1 species